AACGCACCUUGCACUCUUUGGUAUUCCGAAGAGUAUGUCUGUUUGAGUGUCAUGAAACUCUCAACCCCCUCGUUUUGUAAUGAAAUGUAGCGUGGGCUUGGUUUAUGGCUGUUUGCCGGCGUAAAUGCCGGCUCAGCUGAAAUAUACGAGCAACCCAGUUUAAAUACCUGACGGCUUGACUCGGCGUAAUAACUAUUUCGCUGAGGACGUCUAACCUUUAAAUCGUUAGUGGUGCUUCUAAUGCAUUAAUCAUCUUAAGCUUUAGACCUCAAAUCAGUCAGGACUACCCGCUGAACUUAA
rnacentral:misc_RNA from 1 species